GGUAAACAAAUAUUACAGGAAAGAUAUUAAUCACUCUGAUAACUUUAGGGAAGUCAGCAAAUACACGUUUUGUUUUAUUUAACUUGCCCAAGUGUGUGGCAAUUGGAUGUAAGUGCCCAUCCUGUCAUGAGCUAUCCUUGUAGUUCCUGUUUUGGAGCUUGGGUGGCACUUUGUGGGGCUUUGCGCCCCUCUUGCCCUCUCUCUCUCUCUCUUUCUCUCUCUCUCUCUCUCUCUCUCUCUCUCUCCCUUCCCUGUAAUCAGCACCACCUUGGCCGCGCACCUGUUUUCAAUCAGCCGUCAUCAUCUCUGCCUGCAUAAAAGCCUGUCAGAUCCUGGAAGCCCUCACCAGAGUACUAAUGUUCACCCGUGGUACACCGGCAUCGUACUUGCACUGCUCCUGCUGUGUUCCUUGCCUUGUUGACCUCUUCCACCAUACCUCCAAGCCAUCCACCUGCUCACGCUGCCGCAUGCUCCCUGUCUUGACGACCUGUCAUUACGCCUCGAAUUUCCUUUUCAAUAACCCGUUCACCACAAACAUCUCAGACUCCGCUUGUUUCUGGGUGCAGUCACAAUGAUACCUUCGUAUCGUGACACAGCCUGUAUAAUGUUGUAUUUUAAAAAUUGGCAAAGCACACACAAAAUGCAGAGUUGAUGCAGCGUUUUGUCAUCGGUGAUAUGGCAUGACUCCUUCUUGUGACCGGGUCCAAGUCAGACCUGAGAUCAUUGAUAACUCACAUUGCGCUUGCUAAAUUAAACCAUUUGCAUAGCUGCUCCUGAACUGGCAGACGCAAUCCAGGUUGCGCUGUUUUUGUACGAGCAAACCUAUAGCAAAUCAGGCCUAAAGUGUUUAGUGUUAGUUUGCUUGUGACUUUCAAAGGCACCUCAAAGACCGUCCACAUUCUGUGUAGUGUGAACUAAUUACAAAUUAAGAAUGUGGAGCAGAGAACUCUCGUCGAUGACUCCCCACAAGUAAAAAGCCCACAGGUGGACUCUGUGGGUGGACCGAUGCUGGCCGCUGAGCCGCGAGGAAACGCAGCGGACAUCCGAAGGGCAGGAAGCGCAUCUAAUUCAAUAAACGUUUACUUUACUUUUAUUUUGAAACUACACAAAGGUAACCAGUAUUUUGGAGGGGAUCUGUAAUUUGAAAUUGAGCACAAAAUGCAGCUACAUGUGAGGAGAUGUCUGAGGAAGCAGCAUGUGGCUUGAUAGCAAAGGGUAUUUUGGUAUGUUCCAAGUAGAGCUGAAAACUGUUUAGUCAUCAAAUUUUCACAUGGUUAUUAGUGCUACUACUGCAAAUGUAUUAUUAUUAUUGUUAUUAUUAAGAGUCUCGGAGAUUAGUAGUUUUCUGUCUUCUCCACAGACAGAAGACAGAUAUUUUUCUUACAGUGCAUUUGUUUUGUCUAAUAUUCACCCAUUGUAUUUAAUUGUUUUUUCUAAUAUUUAAUUAUGUUUUGUGAUUUUUGUCUAUUGUAACAAUGUAGUAUUUGUGUAAUUUAAAAAAUUUUGAAGAAUUGUUUUUUUCAUAUGAAUUUUCAG